GACAGAGGUGCCAAGCGUUAGGCGGAAUCACUGGGCUUAAAGCGUGUGUAGGCGGAUUCCUAAGUACCUUGUGAAAUCCCACGGCUCAACCGUGGAACUGCUCGGUAUACUGGGUAUCUUGAGCCACUUAGGGGCGACCGGAACAAAUGGUGGAGCGGUGAAAUGCGUAGAGAUCCGGAGGAACACCAAAGGCGAAGGCAGUGUCCUGGGGAGUACCUGACGCUCAGGUGCGAAAGCCAGGGGAGCGAACGGG
rnacentral:rRNA from 1 species